UGGGGAAUUUUGGACAAUGGGGGAAACCCUGAUCCAGCCAUCCCGCGUGUGCGAUGAAGGCCUUCGGGUUGUAAAGCACUUUUGGCAGGAAAGAAACGUCGCGGGUUAAUACCCCGCGAAACUGACGGUACCUGCAGAAUAAGCACCGGCUAACUACGUGCCAGCAGCCGCGGUAAUACGUAGGGUGCAAGCGUUAAUCGGAAUUACUGGGCGUAAAGCGUGCGCAGGCGGUUCGGAAAGAAAGAUGUGAAAUCCCAGAGCUUAACUUUGGAACUGCAUUUUUAACUACCGGGCUAGAGUGUGUCAGAGGGAGGUGGAAUUCCGCGUGUAGCAGUGAAAUGCGUAGAUAUGCGGAGGAACACCGAUGGCGAAGGCAGCCUCCUGGGAUAACACUGACGCUCAUGCACGAAAAGCGUGGGGGAGCAAAACAGGAUUAGAUACCCUGGUAGUCCACGCCCUAAACGAUGUCAACUAGCUGUUGGGGCCUUCGGGCCUUGGUAGCGCAGCUAACGCGUGAAGUUGACCGCCUGGGGAGUACGGUCGCAAGAUUAAAACUUAAA
rnacentral:rRNA from 1 species